rnacentral:misc_RNA from 1 species
GAUGAAGAACGUAGCGAAAUGCGAUACGUAAUGUGAAUUGCAAAUUCAGUGAAUCAUCGAGUCUUUGAACGCACAUUGCGCCCCCUGGUAUUCCGGGGGGCAUGCCUGUCCGAGCGUCAUUGCUGCCCUCAAGCACGGCUUGUGUGUUGGGCCCCGUCCUCCGAUCCCGGGGGACGGGCCCGAAAGGCAGCGGCGGCACCGCGUCCGGUCCUCGAGCGUAUGGGGCUUUGUCACCCGCUCCGUAGGCCCGGCCGGCGCUUGCCGAUCAACCCAAAUUUUUAUCCAGGUUGACCUCGGAUCAGGUAGGGAUACCCGCUGAACUUAAGCAUAUCAAUAAGCGAGGA